rnacentral:rRNA from 1 species
CCUACGGGUGGCAGCAGUGGGGAAUAUUGGGCAAUGGGCGCAAGUCUGACCCAGCAACGCCGCGUGAAGGAAGAAGGCUUUCGGGUUGUAAACUUCUUUUCUCAGGGACGAAGAAAGUGACGGUACCUGAGGAAUAAGCCACGGCUAACUACGUGCCAGCAGCCGCGGUAAUACGUAGGUGGAAAGCGUGAUCCGGAUUUAUUGGGUGUAAAGUGCGUGUAGGCGGGAGCGCAAGUCAGAUGUGAAAACUCAGGGCACAACCCUGGGCCUGCAAUGGAAACUGUGUUUCUUGAGUGCUGGAGAGGCAAGCGGAAGUCCGGGUGUAGCGGUGAAAUGCGUAGAUAUAAGGAGGAACACCAGUGGCGAAGGCGGAUUGCUGGACAGUAACUGACGCUGAGGCGCGAAAGCGUGGGGAGCAAACAGGAUUAGAUACCCCGGUAGUC